rnacentral:rRNA from 1 species
CCUACGGGAGGCAGCAGUCGAGAAUCAUUCACAAUGGGGGAAACCCUGAUGGUGCGACGCCGCGUGGGGGAAUGAAGGUCUUCGGAUUGUAAACCCCUGUCAUGUGGGAGCAAAUUAAAAAGAUAGUACCACAAGAGGAAGAGACGGCUAACUCUGUGCCAGCAGCCGCGGGAAUACAGAGGUCUCAAGCGUUGUUCGGAAUCACUUGGCGUAAAGCGUGCGUAGGCUGUUUCGUAAGUCGUGUGUGAAAGGCGCGGGCUCAACCCGCGGACGGCACAUGAUACUGCGAGACUAGAGUAAUGGAGGGGGAACCGGAAUUCUCGGUGUAGCAGUGAAAUGCGUAGAUAUCGAGAGGAACACUCGUGGCGAAGGCGGGUUCCUGGACAUUAACUGACGUUGAGGCUCGAAAGCGUGGGGAGCAAACAGGAUUAGAUACCCGAGUAGUC